CUCAAACUGACUGACCACUGGCCCCAAACUAAUUGUUGACUAUGAGAAGGGGACAUAUUUUGUCUUAUGCAAGACGUUUGUAUUUUAUUUUUGUGUCGUUUAAUUUCGAGGGUUUAUUGUGUUAUCAUCACAAACAACUGUGAUUGGUCCAGUCUGAGCAGCACUGAGAAAAGUAACUUAUCGGUUCUCUGGUGACCAAACGACACAUAGCGCCCUUUAGCGUCCACAUGUAGAAUCAUCUUAUCUGGAAGCAUGCUAUGCUAGCAGUUCGUUUCCUCACAGUGUAAACCCAGAUGUUUUGACAUUUUAAAUAGGUUUUGGCGCUCUUUUGAUCUCAUCUGCCGUUGCUCUUGCGGUAAUGACGUCACCCCUCGCGCGCUGUCAGCCUCUCGAGAUUUCUGAAGUGAGCCGUUUUUAUUGAGAUCAGCUCCUUCAGUGAAGCUCCUCAGACAGCAAUUCACCAAUAAAUGCUGGAAUAUUCCCAUCAGCCUACAAGUGAAGACCAGCAUGAAACCAGCAAGAAGAAGCCUUAGUAAAAGAAACGGUGAAGACAGACCUUCGCAACAGGCCGCAGGGGGAGCAUCUUGAGGCCUGCAUGAGGGUGUCCAUCAGUGGUCCCCCAGUUGGGGACUUCCCAUAUCAGGAGGCCCUUGAAAUGUUUUUCAAAAGUCCUAGGAAAAUUAAAUGCAAAAACCACAAUUGUACGCUGUGCCAGUGAUCACACAGUGAAGUGUGUUGUAAAUAGU